rnacentral:lncRNA from 1 species
AGAGACCAAGACCCGAAGAUUUUAUCCCUCCUUCAACCGAUCCCAUUACAGGAGUUUCGUCGAAAAAUAUUGUAGUAGUCGCAGAAUCCAAAAUCACUGCUCGCCUAUUCCUACCUAAAAUCACAGAUCUUCCUACCUAAAAUCACAGAUCCGAACGAAAAACUUGCCGUCCUUGUUUAUUUCCACGGAGGAGCCUUUGUUGUAAACACACCAUUCACUACUCGGUUCCAUAACUUGGUAACCAUCAUUGUUUC